rnacentral:ncRNA from 1 species
GCAGAUGAAGAUGUUUACGGUCCGGGCGUGUCAAAGCGUUCGGUGAAAAGGGAACGCGGUGCUUCGAAAGAAAAAUCCGCGACUGCCCCCGCAACUGUGAGCGGUGAGCGACGCUGAGAGUGCCACUGGUGUUCCGAUGGGACGUUGGGAAGGCCAGCAGAGCAGAGACCCGCAAGUCAGGAGACCUGCCGUAAGCCAACACCCAGU